rnacentral:tRNA from 1 species
CACCCCGGCCAGCAGCAGCGUCAGCGCCGCCGCCACCCCCAGCAGCCACACCCGCCCGUCCAGCUCCGCGAGCCG